rnacentral:rRNA from 1 species
GACGAACGCUGGCGGCGUGCCUAAUACAUGCAAGUAGAACGCACAGGAUGCACCGUAGUUUACUACAUCGUAUUCUGUGAGUUGCGAACGGGUGAGUAACGCGUAGGUAACCUGCCUGGUAGCGGGGGAUAACUAUUGGAAACGAUAGCUAAUACCGCAUAAGAACAUUUACUGCAUGGUAGAUGUUUAAAAGGUGCAAAUGCAUCACUACCAGAUGGACCUGCGUUGUAUUAGCUAGUAGGUGAGGUAACGGCUCACCUAGGCGACGAUACAUAGCCGACCUGAGAGGGUGAUCGGCCACACUGGGACUGAGACACGGCCCAGACUCCUACGGGAGGCAGCAGUAGGGAAUCUUCGGCAAUGGGGGGAACCCUGACCGAGCAACGCCGCGUGAGUGAAGAAGGUUUUCGGAUCGUAAAGCUCUGUUGUUAAGGAAGAACGAGUGUGAGAAUGGAAAGUUCAUACUGUGACGGUACUUAACCAGAAAGGGACGGCUAACUACGUGCCAGCAGCCGCGGUAAUACGUAGGUCCCGAGCGUUGUCCGGAUUUAUUGGGCGUAAAGCGAGCGCAGGCGGUUAGAUAAGUCUGAAGUUAAAGGCAGUGGCUCAACCAUUGUAGGCUUUGGAAACUGUUUAACUUGAGUGCAGAAGGGGAGAGUGGAAUUCCAUGUGUAGCGGUGAAAUGCGUAGAUAUAUGGAGGAACACCGGUGGCGAAAGCGGCUCUCUGGUCUGUAACUGACGCUGAGGCUCGAAAGCGUGGGGAGCGAACAGG